CCUCUUGAGGCCGCGCGGCCCUCCCCUUAUAUUGGCCGUGUUCCCGGCAACGGGGACUAUGGACAUAAACGCGCUCGGAAUAAGCGGAUCGGACCCGGGGGCGGUACCCGGCGGCUCCACCAAAGUCCUUCAUUGGGGGCAAAUGGGGCCGAAACAGGAUCGACGAACGUCUAAAGGGGUUUGCUUUGUCCCGGUGAGCGACCACCGUUAUCGGUGCAAACAGUACAGUUGCCAAUGACAACCGUGCUCCGGUGGCUCUCGCCGCGUAAGCGGUGCGAAAAACCGAAAAUCAAGUCCUGAGCCUUUGCCGGCCCAGGCGGGGUUCGCAGGCACCUGGCAACAGA
rnacentral:tmRNA from 1 species